GCAAGUCGAACGGCAGCACGGGGGCAACCCUGGUGGCGAGUGGCGAACGGGUGAGUAAUACAUCGGAACGUGUCCUGUAGUGGGGGAUAGCCCGGCGAAAGCCGGAUUAAUACCGCAUACGCUCUACGGAGGAAAGGGGGGGAUCUUAGGACCUCCCGCUACAGGGGCGGCCGAUGGCAGAUUAGCUAGUUGGUGGGGUAAAGGCCUACCAAGGCGACGAUCUGUAGCUGGUCUGAGAGGACGACCAGCCACACUGGGACUGAGACACGGCCCAGACUCCUACGGGAGGCAGCAGUGGGGAAUUUUGGAUAAUGGGCGAAAGCCUGAUCCAGCAAUGCCGCGUGUGUGAAGAAGGCCUUCGGGUUGUAAAGCACUUUUGUCCGGAAAGAAAACGCCGUGGUUAAUACCCGUGGCGGAUGACGGUACCGGAAGAAUAAGCACCGGCUAACUACGUGCCAGCAGCCGCGGUAAUACGUAGGGUGCAAGCGUUAAUCGGAAUUACUGGGCGUAAAGCGUGCGCAGGCGGUCCGCUAAGACAGAUGUGAAAUCCCCGGGCUUAACCUGGGAACUGCAUUUGUGACUGGCGGGCUAGAGUAUGG
rnacentral:rRNA from 1 species